rnacentral:rRNA from 1 species
AGAGUUUGAUCAUGGCUCAGAUUGAACGCUGGCGGCAGGCUUAACACAUGCAAGUCGAGCGGGGAAGGGUAGCUUGCUACCUGACCUAGCGGCGGACGGGUGAGUAAUGCUUAGGAAUCUGCCUAUUAGUGGGGGACAACAUUCCGAAAGGAAUGCUAAUACCGCAUACGCCCUACGGGGGAAAGCAGGGGAUCUUCGGACCUUGCGCUAAUAGAUGAGCCUAAGUCAGAUUAGCUAGUUGGUGGGGUAAAGGCCUACCAAGGCGACGAUCUGUAGCGGGUCUGAGAGGAUGAUCCGCCACACUGGGACUGAGACACGGCCCAGACUCCUACGGGAGGCAGCAGUGGGGAAUAUUGGACAAUGGGCGCAAGCCUGAUCCAGCCAUGCCGCGUGUGUGAAGAAGGCCUUUUGGUUGUAAAGCACUUUAAGCGAGGAGGAGGCUACUUGGAUUAAUACUCUAGGAUAGUGGACGUUACUCGCANAAUAAGCACCGGCUAACUCUGUGCCAGCAGCCGCGGUAAUACAGAGGGUGCGAGCGUUAAUCGGAUUUACUGGGCGUAAAGCGUGCGUAGGCGGCUUCUUAAGUCGGAUGUGAAAUCCCUGAGCUUAACUUAGGAAUUGCAUUCGAUACUGGGAAGCUAGAGUAUGGGAGAGGAUGGUAGAAUUCCAGGUGUAGCGGUGAAAUGCGUAGAGAUCUGGAGGAAUACCGAUGGCGAAGGCAGCCAUCUGGCCUAAUACUGACGCUGAGGUACGAAAGCAUGGGGAGCAAACAGGAUUAGAUACCCUGGUAGUCCAUGCCGUAAACGAUGUCUACUAGCCGUUGGGGCCUUUGAGGCUUUAGUGGCGCAGCUAACGCGAUAAGUAGACCGCCUGGGGAGUACGGUCGCAAGACUAAAACUCAAAUGA